GUAUCCUGUCUGCAUCCAUCCCUUGAAGCAGAGAACAUCUGAUUUUUACACACUGAUUAAUCUAGAAUGGAGGCUCCAGGUUCUCAGAAGACUGCAGAACUUCCUGGAACAAGCUGUGUGUUACCUCUGCAUAACGAAAUUGCUGAAAAUUUGUUCUGAUGUGAUCAUCACCUUACCUAGUCAGCUUGAGGUGUUACAGCAUCAGAACUGCAGAUAUGAAAAGCUUGAGGUACAUUCUGAUUUUGUCAGAUGCAUUUUCAAUAGACAUACAUGGUCUUGGUUGAGAGAGAGAGAGAAGAUAAAAGGGUAACUUUAGAAGUACCCACCACUCUGAAGGAAAGGAUUAAAUGAAUAUUAUUAGAGUCUAGGUGAGAAAUUAUGCAGUAGUUUCCAAUUUGUCUGAAAGAUACAUCUUAUGAGCUUGACUCUGACAUGAAUUAUGAUUUCUGUUUGUAUAAUACUAGCUCUUGGUAUCAGCAGCUACUCAUAAGCCUUGCAAGUAGGGGCUUGUGGUGAGCUCCCAGGGGCAUCCUGUGGCACUCAGUGACCAGCUUGGGACCAGCUGAGCAGAGGUGCUAGUUCACAUUGCUGCCAGGAGGACUUUCAUGAAGGUCCAACUUCUUGCCAUCAAAAGUUGCCUUCUCCUGAGCCUUUGAAAAAAGAUGUAACUUUGCACAACCCUUUGAUCUCUUUAUGGUGAACCCUCAAUAGCCAAGAAGUGCAAAUAAUGCCAACUAGGUGCAGUGCAGCCACAGAACAUAUCCUGUAAGAAACGCUAUUAAUAAAAAAAUGGGUAGCGAAAUUUCAUAUCAUACAUGCAUUAAUUCUAGCUACUCAGUCUGUGGAAACCUAAAUUGGAAAGCUGCUUGGAAAAAAAAUCACAUGCCAAAGGGUGACUGAAUAGUCACUCGCAGAGUAGCUUUAUGAAAACAAUAGCUCUAAUGCUUGCAUGCUGUUCUAUGUCAUUUAAAGCAUUGCUGUUCAUUGUAGAAAAUGUAACUUUUAAGCUGACCUGUUUUACUUUUGGGGAAGCUAAUGCUUGUAUUGCAAGGGGGAAGCUGGUUGGUUGUUUUUCAUUAUGGUAUGUGUCACAAAUGAGAAUGUCAGGAAGGUCUGAAAUUUCAUCUCAUCCAAAUCUAUUAAUGUUAAUGUUCUUUUCAUUAUGAUUUCAUCAGGAUUAAUUAAUAGAAUCUGUGAAUAAUAUGCUGCACAUAUUUGAUAUGCAAAACCAAAUCAACUGUACAAUUUAUGUUUCUUUACAGCUGAUGCUUCACAUAUUGACAGUCAGGAGUAUAGACUACAUGUGUUAGUCUACACCAGCUGUCCAUGACUAGCAGUUCAUCUUCCUGAGCCAUGAUGUGCCCUGGAUGACAGUGAAUCCUAAUGCUAGCAGACGACCCUGCUGGAAUCAGAGAUUUUGCAGUGGACAGACAGCCCAGAAAACAUUAGUCUCCUUUUCUUACAAGCUCAGAAGGUUUAGAUUAUGCUGGUUUAGCUGUAUCUUGACUAUUGCAUUUAAAAAUAGUUCAGGAUAAACUUACAGGAUGUCCAAUAUUUGUUUUCAAUGACUUGUCCAGUGGUGACUCUGAGACCCCUAUAAGUUGCCUUACUGACAGGAUUCAUCAAUAAAUAGACACAGUAGAUACAGGAGUCAGCUGAUUAUAAUUCUCAGAAAAGUACUCAUGUUCAGCAGAGAGAAAUUUAUGUUGAUAGCAAUGGUAGUGUCCAGUUAACCUCUCUAUACAUAAGUAUCUGGUUUUUUUUACAGAAGCCAUUUUUUAAGUGGUUUUGGGGUUUUCUUUUCUAUUUUGUUGGUAGGUCACAGAAUAAAGAUUUGAGGUCCUUUACACUGCUUUAAAACAUAACAAAUCAUCUUUAUAGGCAAAAAGAUCUUGAUGUAUUGUUAGAUUUUGAGGAAUAGAACCAAAAUAGUGCAAAUCUGUUUUCUGAUUUCCCUGGGCUUGGUACUGGCUCCUGGACAUUUACAUCUUAAUUUCUUCCACUCAGAUGUGUUAUUUGAUUUGAGUGUUUGUGAAAGCUACCAAUCUGACAGUCCUGCAGACCAAAGCUUUCCAUUUAUUCACCUGUUAAGUAAAAAGUUUGAGUUUCUUUCUCCAAUUAAAGUGCCUCUACCCAUGCUGGCCAGACCACCUCGAGGGAGGAAUCAUUUAGAUUCCAACCACACACUUUCCCCUGCCUUGCUCUUGCAAAUGCCAGCAAGAAGCUGACUUGUGCCAGCUGUUGCAUAUUUCUAAUGGGCACACUUGUCUAUAGGGAAUAAAGCGAUCAGAUAACUUCUAGAAGAUAACAAUUUCAGGUUACUACUAGUCUGGGCUGGAUUUGAACUGAUACUCUAGAAGGAAAUUAUUCUCACCCAUUACUACUCCAGAUAUGCUUUGGAGUUUCUGUGUGGGUCUAAGAAAUAUCUUAAUGGAAGUGGAUCUAUUUUUAUAAUAUAGCUGCAAACAAUUAAGUGAAUUAUCUGAAUUUCAGGCUGUAUUAACUGCACUGUGAUGUGGUUUAUACUUAAUGAAUAAGGAAGGUAGAUCAUAUUAUAAAUGCAAUACAUGUAUAUUACACCUAGUGCACAUUUAUCGAAACAGUGUCAGGUUUUGAAACAGCUUACAUUAACUCUGCAUCUGUGCUGUGAAUCCAGGAAGAAGUUGAGGUUUGCUCAGCUAAAUCCUUUUUCGUGGUCUUGGCAUCUGAGAAGGAGUUUGUCACCGAUAUGUUUACUUUUAUCACCCUGUUUCAUAUUUCUGAAAAGGACAUAAAUGAGAACAGAUUGUUUCUAAAGUAACGGAAGGAGCAACGCAGAGAAAAUAAUGAUGAGCAUGUUCCAGUUGGAUAGAUUACGGGAGAAGUACAAAACCUCCAGGUUCUCAUUUUCCCACAAGACAGUCAAUUCUGACACUUUAAUAUGGAUGCAUGGGUAUGCCAAAGGGAGAGCAAGGAGGUGUUUCGUUCCUAUCUGUUGUUCCAGCUCAAUGGCUUUAGUACCACACACACUACUGGCACCAUGAUGUAGCAGCUGAAUGAAGAUCCUCACCAUUUUGGGGAGAAGGUGGAAGGGGAUGUGGUUCAUUCACCAGAAGCUGUGUUGAGCCUCUCAUCUGUGCUGUUGCCACUCAUUUAGGAUGGAAAGGAGCUUGGCUACGACUUCAGUAUGUUGUAUGUGUCACUCUUGGUCCUUGGUGUGUGACCUACCAAGGAGGCUGAGCUUACUGUUCCUGUUGCAGAGGUUUAUGUUUCUGAACUAUUGAUUUCUCUAGAGUUUUCCACUACUUUGAGUGCCCUGAAAAGCCACUAUAAAUUUUUUUGCUAGUAGAGAAAGUAUGAGUGCUGCUAAUGUGGGCUUUGGAAAAGUGUAGAGAAGGCAACGGGGGCAAAUGCUCUCAGGAGCAAGGGGGAUACAUGCACUACGUAGCAGAAGCCUUGGAAACAGCUGGCAAUUGCUGCUAAUGGCAUCAUAUAUAUUGACUGUCUGCAAGUUUAAUCCAGACAGCCUUGUGGAACAAUAGACCUUAUUUUAUUGAAUCUGAACUGUGAACCUGGAAGAGAACUCACAGUAGAUAAACAGAAAAGCAAAAUGCCUCUAUGCUUUUCUCUGUUUCAGUUUCAUUCCUUCCUUCCUCAGCUGUUUGGGGUGGGUAUUAUUUGCUUCAUGUGGUGUGUUUUUAAAGGACUGGUUAAAAUCCUCCAAGUUUUACUUUGGUGAGUUUUUUUCUUCCACAUCUUGUUCCUUUUCUGUCAUUUCUCCUGUCUAAGACAACCAGCCUUAAGCCCUUGAAAAAUAAAUUCCAGCUCCUCUUGACAAACAACCCCCUGUUCUGCUUUGCCAGAUGACUGAUUGAUCAGUUACCGGUACCCUUGGCCAGGCUGUCUCUUCUUCAGAACUGCCAGUUACUUCAUCCAAUGGUGCUUCCAAGUGAAUGAGUGAUCACCAGGCACUUGUGGCCUUCUCUUAUUAGCCCUGUAUUACUUUCUACUUCUACAUAGAUGAAGAUACCCAGAUAGACAAAACCUUCAAUCAAUUUACUGUUUGGAGUCUGACACACACAAUGAGAGUCUGCAGUAUUAAAGAAAACUCACAGGAGUUGAAACAGAUUUCUCAGCUCAUUAUAGGACUAGAUAUUUGCACUUGGCUAGCACAUGCUAGGUUGUUCUUAUAUCCAAGUCUCUCAGCUGGAACCUAUCUAUUUUUUUCUCAUGUUAAGGCCUCCAGAUUUAUUAUGGUGGUAUUUUAGCCUGCUAGUAGACUGAAAGCAGUAUGAGAUACAUUCAUCACAUGCAGGAGGGAAAUUCUGUAUAUUGUAAGGAUGACACCAGUUAUUUUCUUCCUACCAGGCAGGAAGAACUAGACUUGCCAAUUCCCUGAUGUGCAGUGCUUUUCUGAGAGUUUAGAAUUUUAAACUUCAAGCUUUAGACUAACAGGUCAGGUCAAAAAACUGACUAAUACCCAUCUUCAAUCUGUGGAAGGGAAAUUUUCACCAUGGAAAUAUUUUUUCUCUGUUUUGUUAGAUAGUUGCACUGUGCACUAAACACACCGUGUCUUUUGCUCCUUGCCCUUUCCUGGAGUGUGCAUUGAGGAGUUCAGGCAACUAUUUAAAUCAAGUGAAUUUUGGUUGAAAGUCUAGUCCCAGAUGAGUUGCUCCCACACAAGAAGGGAAAUGAGACAAGAAAUAAAGAGAACCUGGCUUUGGCAAAAUUCUAGUCACUAUCUCACUUUCAUAGAUAGAGUUUGCCAGGAGGGCAACAUACAAAAUGAAGCCUAGACAAGAACUUGGCUAUAUCUUGUACCAGUGAGCUGUACCUCUGAGUUGUGUUUUGAUGCUCUUUCCCUUUAGUUUUCCUUUUUUUUUAUCCUGUGAAGACCCUACGGACCAAGGCAAAUAUCUUAGACAGAGAAGCAGACCAAUCCACAGGAAAUACCCCAGAAAACAUUUUGAGGUUAUGUUUAGGAUAUUUGUAGCUAGACUAGACAACAUGUUAAUGAACACUGUGAGGGUCUUGUUUGGGGCAGGCAUUUCUAAAUAUGCUUAGAAGAUUGAGAAGCUUUGGGUGGUCAACCCAAAUAGUUUUGUGGACUAUUGCAUCCCAUUGACCAGUUUAGCAUUUCUGGAUUCUGUUACAGUGCAUAUGUCACUUAUAUCCACCUACAUCCACCAUGACCCUCAAAGCAGGUGGCAACUCACUAACAAAAUCAGCAGGCAGUAUGGCACCCUUUGGUUUAUUUCCAGCUCAGCUUCUAAUUUUGAAGAAAAAAAAAAAAAAAAAAAAAAAAAAAUUAAUCUUGUAUCCUUCUCAAAAAUAAUUGUUCAUAGUUCUCCUUGUUUGUCAGGAACCCUACUUUCAUUCUCAGCAAGUAGCCUCCUGUUAUGUGGAUAAUGUGCAGAUGGUCAUUCUUUCACCUUUAGAUCCUAUGAUGGACAGAUUUGUUAACUGGCAGUCCUUCUCAACGUGCAAAGCAUUCUGCCAAAGGCAUUCAUUUCUUGGAAGAAAUUAACAGAGUGGAUCUAUUUGCAUAGAUUCUUAGUUUUACUGUCCCCAGCCAUCUCGGUGUUACAACACAGAAACCUAAUGGAAAGUUAAGGCUGUGUGGAGUAAUUAGAAAAGCCAUCUUAUAUCUUUAUUUCUGCCUGGCAUGUGUAACUGAAGGUCAGGUACUGUAAUUUUUAAUUUUACAACUAUAAACACUGAGUUUGGAAAAGGAUAACUUGUUUAUUUCUCUUUUGGUAAAGCAUGGGUAAAUAUAUUCAUGACACUAAAACAUUUGCAUUAUUAAAGCAUUUGAAUGAACUUGAACAAAUUGCUAAUCUGAAAAGAUUAUCAUUAUUUUUGUCCAGACAUGAAUAAAUAACUUUUUUUCAGCGUCUGUAAGCUUAGAUGGUCCAUUUGCCCUUGUGUACUUGUAAAUUCAUAUAUCAAUUGAGUCACCUGGAUCAAAGCCAUGUUUUAAUAAGGCAUAAAAGAAACAAAAUAUAUCUAGAUUAAAUAUAUCCACUUUCUCUACGGGAACUACAAAAAUAGUCAUAACUUAUUUUACUUCUUAAAAAAAAAAAAAAGCUGACCCUUCAUUUGUUUGGACAAACUGAAAUGGUUGUUAACCAUCUUCAGUGACCUUUCUCUUAGCUGACAGUUGGUUUGUGACAGAUGAAGCUGAGUAAUCGGCCGACUGUGAUAAAAACAAAAGCCAGGUACCUAAUGCAGUCUGGUUUUGAACUAUCAUUUGUGAUACAUCUGGAUUUGUUAUGAAAGCUUCAGCAUUUUGAAUAUUUCUGCCUUUCUGUACAGACAUUGAAAAAUUGUUCAAGCCUAUUUCUUAGGAAAUGUAUAUUUCAAUUCUGAAUUUACAGAGCUGGAUUUAAUAACAUGCUCAUUUGCCAUUUUCCUAGAAAUUUCCCUUUUCUGUGGUAGCUUUGGGAAUUCCAAAUACCUCCAGUGUGAAGCAUUUCCCUAUAGCAAACCAACAUUUGAAGGAGCUGACAUAAAAAUGUCCAACUUUCAUUUGAGAUGCUGUCUUUGUUGUUGAAACAAAGAGAGACAAGAAACACUAGUUGGAACAUGGGAAAUUAUGACUAGAUGCUAAGAACAAAAAAAAAAAU